ensembl:lncRNA
UCUAUGUAGAAAACCAUUGAUUUAGUGUAGUGAAGGUGUAUGUUUAUUUGUUGUCAAUCUCUUUCCAUUCAAAGCCUUGAGUGUUACAAAACAAAAUGCUACUAUGAUUUUUCUCUUCAUCUUCUGUUUUUUUUAUUGACAGCCACAGCUUUGUCCCUUUUACAUUGCAAUACAGAACAGAUUAGCAGCAAGGAGGAUCGGGCUCAGAUGCAUUUUGACUAAGGUUUUUUAUUUUUUUUUGCCCUUUGGGGCUCUGAAUGGAUGGAUUAAUGAAAAUUUGCCAUCCUAAUGGUUAAUAUAUGACUAUCACUGUAUGGUUUAUGCUGAUCCAACUACACUUUAUCCAGGGUAGCGCCAUUUGGGCCUGUGUUUCCUUAGUUCUUAGCACUAACUGUGUCUUCUUGAUGAGCAAAUAAGUCAUGGACCUUUUAUUAGCUCAAAGACAAUAUAAAAAGUGCUUAUUUGUAUGGUUGUUACAUGGGCAAGGGCUUAUUUAUCUCACGACUCAAGCUGUGUUCUGUUCAGACAUUAUGAAAUAAAUACUACUGAAAUUGACUUCUCAGACUUCAACAUCUAGGCCUAGUGCAAGUGUCGCCUCAUCAGUCAAACGUAAAGUCUGCAUUCUCCCUGCUGAGCUUGAAUCUUGCGGUGUUCAACCACAUUGGUCAGAGACGUACUCAAACAGCUUAACAUGUCUUUCACUGUGUCUGUUAUAACAUUUUUAUUUAUGCAAGCGGUUUGUCUUUACUGUGUCGGGAUAUUUUUGGAAACACAUGUUUAAAGGGUAAUGGGGAAGCGGGGGGCCAGGGCAAUGGAAAGUCCCCUACCAGUGAUCCUCCAGUGCGCACAAUGCCCUCCACCCCAACCUCAAAACUGAGUUGAACGAGUACUGUGAUAUCUCUUUGUUCUCAGGAACGUGAGUAAGUCUUCUCUGUAAAUAAUAGAAAAGGUGUAUUUUACAUUUUCACAGUGAAGAAUGAACAAUAAAAUGAUGUUUUGCAGAACUGUGGCAAAUUGAAGUAUUUUAUAUUCAUCUGUUUUAAUUUACACAAAUACACCAUGUUCUGUGCUGAUGCUUUCAUCUGUGCCUAUGCAAUAUUCUGUUAAAUAUACCCUACAUCACAUAUUGAAGGGUUUUCCCAGUCCACCAUCAAGCAGGUCUCUGUCGGACUGGUGUUGGUAUUUAUUUUACAAAAUGGUUUCACUUAAUAAAAUGAUUCACAAGUUGACA